rnacentral:rRNA from 1 species
UACGGAGGGUGCAACCGUUGCUCGGAAUCAUUGGGCGUAAAGCGCACGUAGGCGGUCGGCUAUGUCGGAUGUGAAAGCCUCGGGCUUAACCCGAGAAGGGCAUCCGAAACUGGCUGGCUUGAGUACGGAAGAGGGUCUCGGAAUUCCCGGUGUAGAGGUGAAAUUCGUAGAUAUCGGGAGGAACACCAGUGGCGAAGGCGGAGACCUGGGCCGAUACUGACGCUGAGGUGCGAAAGCGUGGGGAGCAAACAGG